rnacentral:rRNA from 2 species
UGAGGAAUAUUGGUCAAUGGUCGUAAGACUGAACCAGCCAAGUAGCGUGAAGGAUGACUGCCCUAUGGGUUGUAAACUUCUUUUAUACGGGAAUAAAGUGCCUUACGUGUAGGGUUUUGUAUGUACCGUAUGAAUAAGCAUCGGCUAAUUCCGUGCCAGCAGCCGCGGUAAUACGGAAGAUGCGAGCGUUAUCCGGAUUUAUUGGGUUUAAAGGGAGCGUAGGCGGGUUUUUAAGCCAGCUGUGAAAGUUUGCGGCUCAACCGUAAAAUUGCAGUUGGAACUGGAGACCUUGAGUGUGCAUAAGGUGGAUGGAAUUCGUGGUGUAGCGGUGAAAUGCUUAGAUAUCACGAAGAACUCCGAUUGCGAAGGCAGUCCACUGGGGCACUACUGACGCUGAGGCUCGAAAGUGCGGGUAUCAAACAGG